rnacentral:rRNA from 1 species
GUGGGUUGCAAAAGAAGUAGGUAGCUUAACCUCCGGGAGGGCGCUUACCACUUUGUGAUUCAUGACUGGGGUGAAGUCGUAACAAGGUAACCGUAGGGGAACCUGCGGUUGGAUCACCUCCUUA